rnacentral:lncRNA from 1 species
GCAAGUCUGCUGAGGACCGAAUGUUCCUGUCCAUAAAAACAGAAGUCUGGCCUGGGCUCCUCUCUUGGGUGAAUUUGCAAUGCCAGAUCCUCUCUAUCAGUUUGGUUUUGUUUCUUGUAUCUCUGGGAAGGCAGGCAGACAGCACGGUCACCUGUGAAUGCAGCUACAAUUGGCUUAGCUGCCUCACUGAUAAAUGUGCCCCCAGUAAGCUACAAAGGGAUUACCAGCGUUCUCAGCAGCUAAAGCCUACUUCAUGCUUUGAACAGAAGAGUUUUAUCAGUUUUAAAUGUUUCUUCAUUUCUAUACCUUCUUUUAUCUGAGGAGCUUAAGCCAUUUUGUAGAGGCAUUAAGUAUUGCCUCAGUCUUAAUAUGUGAGACAAGACACUCUGUGGAUUGUGACCUGUUGGUGGGCCAUGAAAUCAAUUUGGGGGUUUGAGAGCAUCAUUCUUUUAAUAAAACAGAAGAGAAUCAUCUGCAAUAAGGAACCCAUGGAUGAAUACCAUCUGGUCCUGGUGAUUUACUGCACAGAGUCCCUCAAGUUGCUCCAUACCUUUCUCCUGAGAGACUGAAGAAUCUCUGUCAAGGCCGUUCUCUGCUUUGCCAUAAAAUGUGUCCUUGGAACAAGAAUUUCCCCAUUGUCUUCUUCAAUAAAUACUGAUUCAAAGUAUUCAUUUAGCUGUUCC